GUGCUUACCUCGGCAGCACAUAUACUAAAAUUGGAACGAUACAGAGAUUAGCAUGGACCCUGUGCAAAGAUGACACGCAAAUUCGUGAAGUAUUCCAUAUUUCG